UGGGGAAUCUUGCGCAAUGGGCGAAAGCCUGACGCAGCCAUGCCGCGUGAAUGAUGAAGGUCUUAGGAUUGUAAAGUUCUUUCGCUCGUGACGAUGAUGACGGUAACGAGAGAAGAAGCCCCGGCUAACUUCGUGCCAGCAGCCGCGGUAAUACGAAGGGGGCUAGCGUUGUUCGGAAUUACUGGGCGUAAAGCGCGCGUAGGCGGCUUUGCAAGCCAGAGGUGAAAUGCCUGAGCUCAACUUAGGAAUUGCCUUUGGGACUGCAAGGCUUCGAGGACUGGAGAGGUGAGUGGAAUUCCCAGUGUAGAGGUGAAAUUCGUAGAUAUUGGGAAGAACACCAGUGGCGAAGGCGGCUCACUGGCCAGUUUCUGACGCUAAAGUGCGAAAGCGUGGGGGAUCAAACAGGAUUAGAUACCCUGGUAGUCCACGCUGUAAACGAUGAGUGCUAGGCGUCGGCACGCUUGCGUGUCGGUGCCGCAG
rnacentral:rRNA from 1 species